UGGGGAAUAUUGGACAAUGGGCGCAAGCCUGAUCCAGCCAUGCCGCGUGAGUGAUGAAGGCCCUAGGGUUGUAAAGCUCUUUCACCGGUGAAGAUAAUGACGGUAACCGGAGAAGAAGCCCCGGCUAACUUCGUGCCAGCAGCCGCGGUAAUACGAAGGGGGCUAGCGUUGUUCGGAUUUACUGGGCGUAAAGCGCACGUAGGCGGACUUUUAAGUCAGGGGUGAAAUCCCGGGGCUCAACCCCGGAACUGCCUUUGAUACUGGAAGUCUUGAGUAGGGUAGAGGUGAGUGGAAUUCCGGGUGUAGAGGUGAAAAUCGUAGAUAAUCGGAGGAACCCCAGUGGCGAAGGCGGCUCACUGGACCAUUACUGACGCUGAGGUGCGAAAGCGUGGGGAGCAAACAGG
rnacentral:rRNA from 1 species